rnacentral:rRNA from 1 species
UUGAACGCUGGCGGCAUGCCUUACACAUGCAAGUCGAACGGUAGAGGGGCAACCCUUGAGAGUGGCGAACGGGUGAGUAAUAUAUCGGAACGUGCCCAGUCGUGGGGGAUAACGCAGCGAAAGCUGCGCUAAUACCGCAUACGAUCUAUGGAUGAAAGCGGGGGAUCGCAAGACCUCGCGCGAUUGGAGCGGCCGAUAUCAGAUUAGGUAGUUGGUGGGUAAAAGCCCA